rnacentral:sRNA from 1 species
UUCCUAUUAAAAGAAGAGGGGGUUAUAACUAAUUGAUCACAACCAGUUACAGACUGCUCUGUUCCUUCUUCACUCACACUGCUUACUUGACAAGACAAAA